rnacentral:lncRNA from 1 species
GAGUUUAGGGUUUAGAGUUUAGGGUUUAGGGUUUAGAGUUGAGAAAUAAGGUUUUGGGGAUAAGAUUUCAAAUUUUGAAAAAUAAAAAAAUUAAAAUUUUCAAAAGAUAAAAUGCUAUUUUGGUCAUUUUAGUUUUUGAGUGCUAUUUUUGUGAUAUAAAUUUAGAAAUGUGCUAUUUUGGAGAUUUGCCCUUAGAUAUAUUAAAAUAAUAUUCUAGAUCGAUAUUCAAUUGUCAGUUUUCAACUAUUACACGUAAAAAAUAUAUUAUUAAGUACGGUUUUUAUUGAAAGGAGGGUUUUAUAUUUUAAGUAUGUUAUUGGAGUACUUUUUAUUUUCGUGAAUUUAUUCGAGAUG